AUUGAACGCUGGCGGCAUGCCUUACACAUGCAAGUCGAACGGCAGCACGGGAGCAAUCCUGGUGGCGAGUGGCGAACGGGUGAGUAAAGUAUCGGAACGUGCCCAGUCGUGGGGGAUAACGUAGCGAAAGUUACGCUAAUACCGCAUACGAUCUAUGGAUGAAAGCGGGGGAUCGCAAGACCUCGCGCGAUUGGAGCGGCCGAUAUCAGAUUAGGUAGUUGGUGGGGUAAGGGCUCACCAAGCCGACGAUCUGUAGCUGGUCUGAGAGGACGACCAGCCACACUGGGACUGAGACACGGCCCAGACUCCUACGGGAGGCAGCAGUGGGGAAUUUUGGACAAUGGGCGCAAGCCUGAUCCAGCCAUGCCGCGUGCAGGAUGAAGGCCUUCGGGUUGUAAACUGCUUUUGUACGGAACGAAAAGGUUUGGCUUAAUACGUUGAACUCAUGACGGUACCGUAAGAAUAAGCACCGGCUAACUACGUGCCAGCCGCCGCGGUAA
rnacentral:rRNA from 1 species